GAUGAACGCUGGCGGCGUGCCUAAUACAUGCAAGUCGAGCGAACAGACGAGGAGCUUGCUCCUCUGACGUUAGCGGCGGACGGGUGAGUAACACGUGGAUAACCUACCUCUCAGACUGGGAUAACUUCGGGAAACCGGAGCUAAUACCGGAUAAUAUAUUGAACCGCAUGGUUCAAUAGUGAAAGACGGUUUUGCUUUCGCUUAUAGAUGGAUCCGCGCCGUAUUAGCUAGUUGGUAAGGUAACGGCUUACCAAGGCGACGAUGCGUAGCCGACCUGAGAGGGGGAUCGGCCACACUGGAACUGAGACACGGUCCAGACGCCUACGGGAGGCAGCAGUAGGGAAUCUUCCGCAAUGGGCGGAGGCUUGACGGAGCAACGCCGCGUGGGUGAUGAAGGUCUUCGGAUCGUAGAACUCUGUUAUUAGGGGAGAACAAAUGUGUAAGUAACUAUGCACGUCUUGACGGUACCUAAUCAGAAAGCCACGGCUAACUACGUG
rnacentral:rRNA from 1 species